CCCGAAAGGGAACGGGAACACAGGUGCUGCAUGGCUGUCGUCAGCUCGUGUCGUGAGAUGUUGGGUUAAGUCCCGCAACGAGCGCAACCCUUGCCAUUAGUUGCUACAUUCAGUUGGGCACUCUAAUGGGACUGCCGGUGACAAACCGGAGGAAGGUGGGGAUGACGUCAAGUCCUCAUGGCCCUUAUGGGUAGGGCUUCACACGUAAUACAAUGGUCGGUACAGAGGGUUGCCAAAGCGCGAGCUGGAGCCAAUCCCAGAAAGCCGAUCGUAGUCCGGAUUGCAGUCUGCAACUCGACUGCAUGAAGUCGGAAUCGCUAGUAAUCGCGGAUCAGCAUGUCGCGGUGAAUACGUUCCCGGGUCUUGUACACACCGCCCGUCACACCAUGGGAGCGGGUUUCACCAGAAGCCGGUAGCCUAACCGCAAGGAAGGCGCCGACCACGGUGAGAUUCGUGACUGGGGU
rnacentral:rRNA from 1 species